rnacentral:rRNA from 1 species
CUGGGUAUCUUAUACUGAAUACAUAGGUAUAAGAGGCGAACCGGGAGAACUGAAACAUCUAAGUACCCCGAGGAAAAGAAAUCAAUUGAGAUUCCCCUAGUAGCGGCGAGCGAACGGGGAUUAGCCCUUAAGUUUAUUAUGUUUUAGCGGAAGUAGCUGGAAAGUUACGCCAUAGUGGGUGAUAGCCCCGUACGCGAAAAGGCAUUUUAGAUGAAAACGAGUAGGUCGGGACACGAGAAAUCUUGACUGAACAUGGGGGGACCAUCCUCCAAGGCUAAAUACUCCUGACUGACCGAUAGUGAACCAGUACCGUGAGGGAAAGGCGAAAAGAACCCCUGUGAGGGGAGUGAAAUAGAUCCUGAAACCGUGUACGUACAAGCAGUGGGAGCCGAUUUAUUCGGUGACUGCGUACCUUUUGUAUAAUGGGUCAGCGACUUAAUUUUAGUAGCAAGCUUAACCGAAUAGGGGAGGCGUAGGGAAACCGAGUCUUAAUAGGGCGUAUAGUUGCUAGGAUUAGACCCGAAACCGGGCGAUCUACCCAUGGCCAGGUUGAAGGUUGAGUAACAUCAACUGGAGGACCGAACCCACGUAUGUUGAAAAAUGCGGGGAUGAGCUGUGGGUCGGAGUGAAAGGCUAAUCAAGCCCGGAGAUAGCUGGUUCUCCUCGAAAGCUAUUUAGGUAGCGCCUCGUGUCUCACCAUUGGGGGUAGAGCACUGUUUCGGCUAGGGGGUCAUCCCGACUUACCAACCCGAUGCAAACUCCGAAUACCAAUGAGUGCAAUCACGGGAGACACACGGCGGGUGCUAACGUCCGUCGUGGAAAGGGAAACAACCCAGACCGUCAGCUAAGGUCCCAAAGUUAUAGUUAAGUGGGAAACGAUGUGGGAAGGUUUAGACAGCUAGGAGGUUGGCUUAGAAGCAGCCAUCCUUUAAAGAAAGCGUAAUAGCUCACUAGUCGAAUCGGCCUGCGCGGAAGAUAUAACGGGGCUCAAACUAUACACCGAAGCUACGGACGCAUGCUUGCAUGCGUGGUAGAGGAGCGUUCUGUAGGCCGUUGAAGGGAAAGCUGAGAGGCAUCCUGGAGGUAUCAGAAGUGCGAAUGCUGACAUGAGUAACGAUAAGGGGAGUGAAAAGCUCCCCCGCCGGAAGACCAAGGUUUCCUAUCCAAUGCUAAUCAGGGUAGGGUGAGUCGGCCCCUAAGGCGAGGCUGAAGAGCGUAGUCGAUGGGAAGCAGGUUAAUAUUCCUGCACCACUCAAUAUUGCGAAGGAGGGACGGAGAAGGCUAGUCCAGCGCGGCGUUGGUUGUCCGCGUUUAAGCGUGUAGGCUUAAAUCUUAGGUAAAUCCGGGAUUUUUUAAGGCUGAGGCGUGAUGACGAGGUCCAUUAGGACUGAAGUGGUUGAUGCCAUGCUUCCAGGAAAAGCUUCUAAGCAUCAGAUAUUGAGUGACCGUACCCCAAACCGACACAGGUGGUCAGGUAGAGAAUACCAAGGCGCUUGAGAGAACUCGGGUGAAGGAACUAGGCAAAAUGGUACCGUAACUUCGGGAGAAGGUACGCCGCUGAUGGUGAUGGGACUUGCUCCCUAAGCUGUUGGCGGCCGAAGAUACCAGGUGGCUGCGACUGUUUAUUAAAAACACAGCACUGUGCAAACACGAAAGUGGACGUAUACGGUGUGACGCCUGCCCGGUGCCGGAAGGUUAAUUGAUGGGGUUAGCUUCGGCGAAGCUCUUGAUCGAAGCCCCGGUAAACGGCGGCCGUAACUAUAACGGUCCUAAGGUAGCGAAAUUCCUUGUCGG